UGUUUCUAGAUUUACCCAUAAUCUAACCUACACUAAAUAAUUUAUCCCAGAAAGUGAAGCUUUUAUAAAUUAUGCACUUAAAAAUAGGAAACUAAGCAAGAAUCUAAGAAGAAGAAGAAGAAUGAGUUAAAAUGACAUAAAUAGUGCAAGAAUGAGUGAAGAAGAAUCAUAUACUUUUCUAAUAAUAAAUUUGUGGGACAUGAUAGGCUUGUCUGUCAACGACGUGUGUGGUAAUCAAACACCUCAAUUCCAGUCUCUGUAUCAGUUGAUAGAGGCAUAGCUGUUUGACUAAGUGAGUGAUAAUCAAUUAUCUCAGUUUCAAUCUCUGCCUCCAUUGACAGAGAUAGAGUUGUUUGCCGGCAUCGUGGGUGGUAACAAACUGCUUUAGUUUCAAUCUCUACCUCCAUUGAUCGAGGAAAAGUUGUUUGCCAUCUAUGUAUGUGGUAAUCAACCACCUCAAUUUCAAUCCUGCCUCUAUUGACAGAGGCAGAACUAUUUGCCACCGACGUGAGUGGUAAUCAACCACCUCAGUUUCAGUCUCUGCCUUUGCAUCAGUUGGUCUGGACUUGGGAUGAAAACAACAUUUUUGCCGCCAAUGUGGGUGAUAAUCAACGACCUCAGUCGCAACCUCAGCUUCAACAUAAGCUAGUCUGGACUGGGGAUGAGAACAAACAGUUUCAAAUGGUUACUGCUGAAUGUCUUCCGAAAGCUCUGUAGAACUGGUGGGAGGAUAUGGCUGCCUGUCUCGCCGAGGAAAUCCCCCAGACAGAUACUGGAAUGCUUCCAAAAGUUUAUAAACGAUGUCAAUCUCAUACAUAACUCUUAUAUUCGAGAAGUUGCACUCAAGAACAUGACCGUGAUGAUGGCUGCACUUGCCACCAUAUUAGAAUGCAACCCACUCUCCGUCCCAUCAUCAAUAGAAUAACAACACCACCACCACCUUAUUGGACUGAUCAUCAACAUCACAGGUCAGUACUCUAAAUACUUUUUAAUUCUCUUUUUAUUUCUUUAUUGAUUUUUUGGCGAUACAAAUAUAUCGGUUUCGUGUUUUGCAUGAUUUUCUAUUAUGGAUAUAUACAACUUGUACAAAAAUGACUCUUCAUAUUCUUGUAAUCUUUCCUUCUUUAUUUUUUAUUUUUUUAAAAUUACUUGUUCAAUUUUUCUUUUUUUUUUUUUGAUAAAAUUUAUGAACAAAGGUAUAAAUAAUAAUGAACCUUUUUUCAUUUGAUUUAUUUUUUUGAAUAAAUCAGAAGAAGAUAAUGAAGAAGGAAAUGAUGUCAUCAAUCUCGUGGUGGUUUCGCCGGUGUGAGCACUGCUUGGGUCACGACACGUGACACUGGACGUCACCUUCACAGACUCCGGUGAGAAUUAUGUAGUCAGAUCGCUGCCAAGGGUGACCUUUACGUCGGAACACUAACCGGAAGCGUAGUCGAUAGUGCCAGAAAAUAUCUUCGGUCGGAUGGUUGCAUGUGUGGAGGGGUGUGGAGAGGGUUUUUGUGGCCGUCAGAGCAACCUACGAGGUGAGUUCCUUGUCAGAAAAAUGCACGGCGUCGGAACAUUCGCUGGAGCUAACAAGGACACGUACAAAGGCUCAUGGACACACAAUUUGCAAGAAGAACCGGUAGGAGGUUGUGACUGCUUGUCUUCCCGAGAAAACCCCACGCAAAUACAAGAACACUUUCAGAAAUUGAUGAACAACAUCAUUCUCAUAAAUAACUGUUAUAUGCGAUAAGCUGCACCUAAAAACAUGACCGUGAUAAUGGCUACCCUACCAGCACAUUAGAACGCAACCAACUCCCUGUCCCAUAAUCAAUGGAAUAACACCACCACCGCCACCACCUUAUUGGAGUGAUCAUUGACAUCACAGAAGAAGAAAAAGGAGGAGGAGGAGGAGGAGGAAAUGACGUCAUAGAGCUCGUGAUGGUUCUGCCGCCGUACCGGGCACCGCGAGCUUUGUCAGGUCACAACGCAUGACAUCUGACGUCACCUUCAUAGACUUUGGUUAGAGUUCUGCAGUCAGAUCACUCCCGACGGAGACCUCUACGUUGGAACGCUAACUAGAAGUGUAGUCGACGGCGCCAAAAAAUACCUCUGGUCAGAUGGUUGCAUGUGCGGAGGGGAGUGAGGAGGGUUUUCGUGGCCGUCAAAGCAACCUAUGAUAAUGAAUUCUUCGCCGAAAAAAUGCACGGCACCAGAACAUUUGUUGGAGCUGUUGGGGACACGUACAAAUGCUCCUGGACGCACAAUUUGCAAGAAGAUGAAAAAGAUAAUGAAGAAGGAAAUGACUUUAUCGAGCUCGUGGUAGUUCUGCCGCUGUACCGGCCACCGCAAGCAUUGUCAUAGUCAUGACGCGUGACACUGGACGUCACCUUCACACACUCCAGUUAGAGUUGUGUAGUCAAAUCGCUCCCAAUAGCGACCUUUACGCCAGAAUGCUAACCGGAAGCGUAGUUGAUGGUGCCAGAAAAUACCUCUGGUCAGAUGGUUGCAUGUGCAGCAGGGAGUGGGGAGGGUUUUUGUGGCUGUCAAAGUUACCUACGAAGGUGAACUCUUUGCUGAAAAAUUAUGCGGCACCAAAACAUUCAUCAGAGCUGAAAGGAACAUGUACAAAGGCUCAGGGACGCACAAUAUGCAAGAAUGUGAUGACAAAUAAGCUCACAUAAUUUAUUUUUUACUUCUGUCUUGAUGUUGAAAAUUUCUUAAAUUCGUGAUUGAUUUUUUCAUAAAAUUCUCGUAUUUAUGUAUUUUAUUAAAUUGUAUUGAUUACUUGUAUAUGUAUUUGUGCAAUGUAUGUGAGGAAUAGUACUUAUAAAAGAAUGAGAACUAGUAAGGCUGUAAUUCUGUAAAGAUAUUAUCUUAUUUGUUUGCAUUGCAAUAAUGCAGGUUUUUGUAGUUUGUUACGGUUGUGGAUUUCUGUGUUGAGGAACUGUUUCUAUUUCUAUUACGGUUGUUCAUUUCUCUUGAGAUUUUGUACCACACAAGAUUUUCUACGUCUAUGUUCACGCUUUGGUUUUAGGAGUUCAAGAUUAUGUUUUAGUGUAUUCAUACCAACCUCAUGCAUCCACAAUAAUGUCUCAGGAUUUUAAAUUUUGUUUGUACAUUCAAAACAUGUUUUUAAAACAACAAAAUUAAAUAA